rnacentral:rRNA from 1 species
GAAUCUGCCUAGAGGUUGGGGACAACCACUGGAAACGGUGGCUAAUACCCAAUGUGCCUAUUCGUGAAAGAUUUAUCGCCUCUAGAUGAGCUCGCGUCUGAUUAGCUAGUUGGUAGGGUAAAAGCCUACCAAGGCAUCGAUCAGUAGCUGGUCUGAGAGGAUGACCAGCCACACUGGGACUGAGACACGGCCCAGACUCCUACGGGAGGCAGCAGUGGGGAAUUUUCCGCAAUGGGCGAAAGCCUGACGGAGCAAGACCGCGUGAGGGAGGAAGGCUCUUGGGUCGUAAACCUCUUUUGUCAGGGAAGAACACAAUGACGGUACCUGACGAAUCAGCCUCGGCUAACUCCGUGCCAGCAGCCGCGGUAAUACGGAGGAGGCAAGCGUUAUCCGGAAUUAUUGGGCGUAAAGCGUCCGUAGAUGGUCGCUUCAAGUCUGCUGUCAAAGACCGGGGCUUAACCCCAGAAAGGCAGUGGAAACUGAACAGCUAGAGAGAGGUAGGGGUAGAGGGAAUUCCCAGUGUAGCGGUGAAAUGCGUAGAUAUUGGGAAGAACAUCAGUGGCGAAAGCGCUCUACUGGACCUUAUCUGACAUUGAGGGACGAAAGCUAGGGGAGCG